CCUACGGGGGGCAGCAGUAGGGAAUCUUCCACAAUGGGCGAAAGCCUGAUGGAGCAACGCCGCGUGGGUGAAGAAGGUCUUCGGAUCGUAAAACCCUGUUGUUAGAGAAGAAAGAGCGUGAGAGUAACUGUUCACGUUUCGACGGUAUCUAACCAGAAAGCCACGGCUAACUACGUGCCAGCAGCCGCGGUAAUACGUAGGUGGCAAGCGUUAUCCGGAUUUGUUGGGCGUAAAGGGAACGCAGGCGGUUUUUUAAGUCUGAGGUGAAAGCCUUCGGCUUAACCGGCGUAGUGCAUUGGAAACUGGGAGACUUGAGUGCAGAAGAGGAGAGUGGAACUCCAUGUGUAGCGGUGAAAUGCGUAGAUAUAAGGAAGAACACCAGUGGCGAAAGCGGCUCUCUGGUCUGUAACUGACGCUGAGGUUCGAAAGCGUGGGUAGCAAACAGGAUUAGAUACCCGAGUAGUC
rnacentral:rRNA from 1 species